rnacentral:rRNA from 1 species
GUGAGGAAUAUUGGACAAUGGACGCAAGCCUGAUCCAGCCAUGCCGCGUGCAGGAAGACGCAUCUAUGGUGUGUAAACUGCUUUUGUACGGGAAGAAACACUCCCUCGUGAGGGAGCUUGACGGUACCGUAAGAAUAAGGAUCGGCUAACUCCGUGCCAGCAGCCGCGGUAAUACGGAGGAUCCAAGCGUUAUCCGGAAUCAUUGGGUUUAAAGGGUCCGUAGGCGGUUUAAUAAGUCAGUGGUGAAAGCCCAUCGCUCAACGAUGGAACGGCCAUUGAUACUGUUAGACUUGAAUUACAAGGAAGUAACUAGAAUAUGUAGUGUAGCGGUGAAAUGCUUAGAUAUUACAUGGAAUACCAAUUGCGAAGGCAGGUUACUACUUGUGGAUUGACGCUGAUGGACGAAAGCGUGGGGAGCGAACAGGAUUAGAUACCCGAGUAGUCC